CCCCAAUAGCUCAGCGGUAGAGCAAUCGGCUGUUAACCGAUUUUAGUCGUAGGUUCAAAUCCUAUUUGGGGAGA
rnacentral:tRNA from 1 species